AUUGAACGCUGGCGGCAGGCCUAACACAUGCAAGUCGAACGGUAACAGGAAGCAGCUUGCUGCUUCGCUGACGAGUGGCGGACGGGUGAGUAAUGUCUGGGAAACUGCCUGAUGGAGGGGGAUAACUACUGGAAACGGUAGCUAAUACCGCAUAACGUCGCAAGACCAAAGAGGGGGACCUUAGGGCCUCUUGCCAUCGGAUGUGCCCAGAUGGGAUUAGCUAGUAGGUGGGGUAACGGCUCACCUAGGCGACGAUCCCUAGCUGGUCUGAGAGGAUGACCAGCCACACUGGAACUGAGACACGGUCCAGACUCCUACGGGAGGCAGCAGUGGGGAAUAUCGCACAAUGGGCGCAAGCCUGAUGCAGCCAUGCCGCGUGUAUGAAGAAGGCCUUCGGGUUGUAAAGUACUUUCAGCGGGGAGGAAGGGAGUAAAGUUAAUACCUUUGCUCAUUGACGUUACCCGCAGAAGAAGCACCGGCUAACUCCGUG
rnacentral:rRNA from 1 species